UUUUGAUUUUCCAUUAUUAACGAUGGAAAUACAAGCAUAUUUUUAAAUGGCAUUCAGCACAGUCAGUGAUGUACCUGUGCUUGAUGCCGCUAUUCUUCACAAAAUGUGAUAAUUUAUCUGUUAACAUGAAACCAAAGUUUGACUCCACGGAAGCAGCUGGAAAUGGAUAACCACAAUAUGCUUAAACCUCUUCGGAGCGCACGGUUUGGCAUAUUUUGUUAAAAGUUCCUUAUAUUUAGGAAUUCUUUUAAGCAAAGUACUUUUGCUGAGUCUCAGCUGGUGUGCAUAGAGGAAUAUUCGUUUCCGAGUGGUAACAUGGAAUUCAAUUUUUUUUUUACC
rfam:Amazona aestiva scaffold_1253, whole genome shotgun sequence.